GAUGAAGAACGCAGCGAAAUGCGAUAAGUAAUGUGAAUUGCAGAAUUCAGUGAAUCAUCGAAUCUUUGAACGCACAAUGCGCCCGCCAGUAUUCUGGCGGGCAUGCCUGUUCGAGCGUCAUUUCAACCCUCAAGCCCAGCUUGGUGUUGGGGAUCGGCACAGGCGCCCUCGGGCGCCCGCCGUCCCCUAAAUCUAGUGGCGGUCCCGCUGCAGCCUCCUCUGCGUAGUAGUUUUCUCCUCGCAAGGGCAGCUCGGUGGCGACCUCGCCGUAAAACCCCCAACUUCUGAAAGGUUGACCUCGAAUCAGGUAGGAAUACCCGCUGAACUUAAGCAUAUCAAUAAGCGGAGGA
rnacentral:misc_RNA from 1 species